rnacentral:rRNA from 1 species
AAUGGGCGAAAGCCUGACGGAGCAAUACCGCGUGUAGGAUGAAGGCCCUCGGGUUGUAAACUACUGUCACGCUAUAGGAAUGGCGUAAGGUAAUAGCCUUGCGAUUGACUAAAGCGAGAGGAAGUACCGGCUAACUCCGUGCCAGCAGCCGCGGUAAUACGGAGGGUACAAACGUUGUUCGGAAUUACUGGGCAUAAAGCGCACGUAGGCGGCCUGAUAAGUCAGUUGUGAAAGCCCUCGGCUCAACCGGGGAACUGCAAUUGAUACUGUCAGGCUCGAGGGUGGUUGGGGUGAGUGGAACUUCUGGUGGAGCGGUGAAAUGCGUAGAUAUCAGGAGGAACACCAGUGGCGAAAGCGGCUCACUGGACCACAUCUGACGCUGAGGUGCGAAAGCUAGGGUAGCGAACGGGAUU